rnacentral:tRNA from 3 species
GCCGCAGUGGUGAAAUUGGCAGACACGCAGCGUUUAGGGCGCUGUGCCCCAAAGGCGUAGAGGUUCAAGUCCUCUCUGCGGCACCA